GACGAACGCUGGCGGCGUGCUUAACACAUGCAAGUCGAACGAUGAACCCGGAGCUUGCUCCGGCGGAUUAGUGGCGAACGGGUGAGUAACACGUGAGUAACCUGCCCUUGACUCUGGGAUAACUGCUAGAAAUGGUAGCUAAUACCGGAUACGACCCUCGGUGGCAUCACCAGGGGGUGGAAAGAAUUUCGGUCAAGGAUGGACUCGCGGCCUAUCAGCUAGUUGGUGAGGUAACGGCUCACCAAGGCGACGACGGGUAGCCGGCCUGAGAGGGUGACCGGCCACACUGGGACUGAGACACGGCCCAGACUCCUACGGGAGGCAGCAGUGGGGAAUAUUGCACAAUGGGCGCAAGCCUGAUGCAGCGACGCCGCGUGGGGGAUGACGGCCUUCGGGUUGUAAACCUCUUUCAAUAGGGACGAAGCGCAAGUGACGGUACCUAUAGAAGAAGCACCGGCCAACUACGUGCCAGCAGCCGCCGCGG
rnacentral:rRNA from 1 species